GCGGGAGUAGCUAAGCUUGGCCAACAGCGCAGGACUUAAGAUUCUGUCCCGCAGGGGUCCGUGGGUUCAAAUCCCUCCUCCCGCA
rnacentral:tRNA from 2 species